UAUAAAAUUUUUGGCAUUCAGCCUUAAAAAAAACCCAAAACAAACAAACAGAAUGCAUUAGUGCUUUAAAGUCAUGAAGAACAAUAAAGUAAUACAUUCUCUAUAGUGCGUCGCAUCUAACAAUAAAAAAAUGCUGCCAAUAUGAUGAAGUAAGCUUAUGUGUCUCUGCCUUAGUCUUUAAAAGGUACAAGUCUUCCCUGCCUUCUGCCAGGUUUCAGACCAACAUGGUUACUUACUGCUCUCAAUUACAACUACACCCACUAACUGAUAACCUUUAUGUCCACUCUCUACUAGGCAGAACCAGCAAUGUAACUACAGUGGGGCACCAGGAUCCUCCUGCCAGGACAACACGGCACCACACCCCGCUAUAUAAAGUUGAGGGGAAGUGGGCCUAAGUCUACUCCAGGACCAGAAAGCAACUCACAAACUAGUUCUCCUGUGGCAACUCCAGGCCCACAAAAAUCAAGUGGAAAAGGAUGUAUUGGAACCAAACCAGUCACAGGCUUCAUCACUUUUCCAUUCUGCCCGACUGAUCUACGUACACUUCAAAGCUAUUAAAUCAUCCUUGCUGUUUCUGGUGCAUGUCAGCUUCAGUCUACAUGCUGUCUCCUUUAUACUCCCAUCAGGGACAGUAAGCCUCAAUUGUUAGUUAAAUUUUCAAGGUAGGUAACUGUAUUAUGCAAAAGGAAGCUGUUAAACUGCU